AUAGGGGCUCAGCUGGGAUUUAGUACCCUGGUCCUUUUGGUCAGAUGUUCACUCCUGUUUCAGGUCUCACUUUAGGACCCACCUCUCAGCAUCUCUGCCGAGAAGGUCAAGAUGGUGCAACCUUGAAGAUGCUUACAAGGAUGGGCUGGCCUGGAAAGGCUUCUGCAGCUGGCAUAGCUACAGUCUGGAACAUCAGUGACGUUCAGGCAGACUUCCUGGAGGAGGGCUCCCUUCCUGGGUUCCUGAAAGGCACGGCUCCCCCAUGCAGAUAAAGCUUCAUGGUGUUUUGCGACAUGGAAGUCAGUCGGAGGGAAUAGCCUGUACAGCCUGCGUCAAGGAGGAGGGCAAAUGGGACACAGAGAGAUGAAGGUACCCUCGGUUAUUUUACGACAAAGGUGGCCCUCGCCGCCACAGAGAGGAGGAGAGAAGACCCCGGGAAAGAGGGAGCAGGUCCUUCGUGGAAAGAUGGAAACUUCUUUGAAGCUUUGGGGGCCAUGUCCUG
rnacentral:lncRNA from 1 species